AGAGUUUGUAUCAUGGCUCAGAUUGAACGCUGGCGGCAGGCCUAACACAUGCAAGUCGAACGGUAACAGGAAGCAGCUUGCUGCUUUGCUGACGAGUGGCGGACGGGUGAGUAAUGUCUGGGAAACUGCCUGAUGGAGGGGGAUAACUACUGGAAACGGUAGCUAAUACCGCAUAACGUCGCAAGACCAAAGAGGGGGACCUUCGGGCCUCUUGCCAUCGGAUGUGCCCAGAUGGGAUUAGCUUGUUGGUGGGGUAACGGCUCACCUAGGCGACGAUCCCUAGCUGGUCUGAGAGGAUGACCAGCCACACUGGAACUGAGACACGGUCCAGACUCCUACGGGAGGCAGCAGUGGGGAAUAUUGCACAAUGGGCGCAAGCCUGAUGCAGCCAUGCCGCGUGUAUGAAGAAGGCCUUCGGGUUGUAAAGUACUUUCAGCGGGGAGGAAGGGAGUAAAGUUAAUACCUUUACUCAUUGACGUUACCCGCAGUAAGAAGCUACCGGCUAACUCCGUGCCAGCAGCCGCGGUAAUGCGGAGGGUGCAAGCGUUAAUCGGAAUUACUGGGCGUAAAGCGCACGCAGGCGGUUUGUUAAGUCAGAUGUGAAAUCCCCGGGCUCAACCUGGGAACUGCAUCUGAUACUGGCAAGCUUGAGUCUCGUAGAGGGGGGUAGAAUUCCAGGUGUAGCGGUGAAAUGCGUAGAGAUCUGGAGGAAUACCGGUGGCGAAGGCGGCCCCCUGGACGAAGACUGACGCUCAGGUGCGAAAGCGUGGGGAGCAAACAGGAUUAGAUACCCUGGUAGUCCACGCCGUAAACGAUGUCGACUUGGAGGUUGUGCCCUUGAGGCGUGGCUUCCGGAGCUAACGCGUUAAGUCGACCGCCUGGGGAGUACGGCCGCAAGGUUAAAACUCAAAUGAAUUGACGGGGGCCCGCACAAGCGGUGGAGCAUGUGGUUUAAUUCGAUGCAACGCGAAGAACCUUACCUGGUCUUGACAUCCACGGAAGUUUUCAGAGAUGAGAAUGUGCCUUCGGGAACCGUGAGACAGGUGCUGCAUGGCUGUCGUCAGCUCGUGUUGUGAAAUGUUGGGUUAAGUCCCGCAACGAGCGCAACCCUUAUCCUUUGUUGCCAGCGGUCCGGCCGGGAACUCAAAGGAGACUGCCAGUGAUAAACUGGAGGAAGGUGGGGAUGAUGUCAAGUCAUCAUGGCCCUUACGACCAGGGCUACACACGUGCUACAAUGGCGCAUACAAAGAGAAGCGACCUCGCGAGAGCAAGCGGACCUCAUAAAGUGCGUCGUAGUCCGGAUUGGAGUCUGCAACUCGACUCCAUGAAGUCGGAAUCGCUAGUAAUCGUGGAUCAGAAUGCCACGGUGAAUACGUUCCCGGGCCUUGUACACACCGCCCGUCACACCAUGGGAGUGGGUUGCAAAAGAAGUAGGUAGCUUAACCUUCGGGAGGGCGCUUACCACUUUGUGAUUCAUGACUGGGGUGAAGUCGUAACAAGGUAACCGUAGGGGAACCUGCGGUUGGAUCACCU
rnacentral:rRNA from 1 species